rnacentral:rRNA from 1 species
UACGGAGGGGGCUAGCGUUGUUCGGAAUUACUGGGCGUAAAGCGCACGUAGGCGGACCAUCAAGUUGGGGGUGAAAUCCCGGGGCUCAACCCCGGAACUGCCUCCAAAACUGCUGGUCUGGAGGUCGAGAGAGGUGAGUGGAAUUCCGAGUGUAGAGGUGAAAUUCGUAGAUAUUCGGAGGAACACCAGUGGCGAAGGCGGCUCACUGGCUCGAUACUGACGCUGAGGUGCGAAAGCGUGGGGAGCGAACAGG